rnacentral:rRNA from 1 species
UACGAGGGGUGCAAGCGUUGCUCGGAAUUAUUGGGCGUAAAGGGUAGGUAGGUGGUCUCAUUUGUCUGUGGUGAAAGCCUUGGGCUUAACUCAAGAAGUGCCGCAGAAACGGUGAGACUAGAGUCCUGGAGAGGGUCGUGGAAUUCCCGGUGUAGCGGUGAAAUGCGUAGAGAUCGGGAGGAACACCAGUGGCGAAGGCGGCUAUCUGGACGGUUUCUGACGCUAAGACGCGAAAGCGUGGGGAGCAAACAGG